rnacentral:rRNA from 1 species
UGGGGAAUAUUGCACAAUGGGCGCAAGCCUGAUGCAGCGACGCCGCGUGAGGGAUGACGGCCUUCGGGUUGAGGGUAUGUGCAGAAGAAGCGCCGGCUAACUACGUGCCAGCAGCCGCGGUAAUACGUAGGGCGCGAGCGUUGUCCGGAAUUAUUGGGCGUAAAGAGCUCGUAGGCGGUUUGUCGCGUCUGCCGUGAAAUCCUCUGGCUUAACUGGGGGCGUGCGGUGGGUACGGGCAGACUGGAGUGCGGUAGGGGAGACUGGAAUUCCUGGUGUAGCGGUGGAAUGCGCAGAUAUCAGGAGGAACACCGGUGGCGAAGGCGGGUCUCUGGGCCGUUACUGACGCUGAGGAGCGAAAGCAUGGGGAGCGAACAGG